UACGGAGGGUGCAAGCGUUAUCCGGAUUCACUGGGUUUAAAGGGUGUGUAGGCGGGUAGUUAAGUCAGUGGUGAAAUCUCCAGGCUCAACCUGGAAACUGCCAUUGAUACUAUCUAUCUUGAAUAUUGUUGAGGUAGGCGGAAUAAGUCAUGUAGCGGUGAAAAUGCAUAGAUAUGCUUAGAACACCAAUUGCGAAAGGCAGCUUACUAAAACAAUUUAUUGACGCUGAGGCACGAAAAGCGUGGGGGAUCAAACAGG
rnacentral:rRNA from 1 species